GACCAAGAGAUUUAGUUAUAUUAGUUAGGUAAAAAGGUAGUUAAGUAAUAAUUAAGUAGUUUAAUAACCUUUUAUAUAAAGGUAAAAUCUGAAUAUAGAAAGUUUAUUUUUAUAAAACUGUUAGGCUGAAGCUAUGAAAAUUUUGAGGGAAACUGGGAUUAGAUACCCCAUUAUUCAUAAUUGUAAAUUAGUUAAGUUUACCAGAGUACUAUGAAUAAAUAAAAUUUAAAACUCAAAGGGCUUGGCGGUGUUUUAGACCUAUUAGGGGAACCUGUCUCUUAAUCGACAAUCCACGUUAUACCUAACCUGCUUUAGUAAUCAGUUUGUAUACCGUCGUCGUCAGGUAACUUUUAAAAAUUAAGAAGUUGGCAAAAUAAUUAACAUAAAUUAGGACGUCAGAUCAAGGUGCAGCCAAUAAGUAGGUGAGGAUGGGUUACAAUUAUAGAUUUAUAAUACGGAUAGUUAAAUGAAAGAAACUUUAAGGAGGACUUAAAAGUAAUAUUAUAAUAUAUAAAUUAUUUGAAUGAGGCUCUGAAACGUGC
rnacentral:rRNA from 1 species